rnacentral:rRNA from 1 species
CCUACGGGAGGCAGCAGUAAGGAAUAUUGGUCAAUGGACGGAAGUCUGAACCAGCCAUGCCGCGUGCAGGAAGACGGCCCUACGGGUUGUAAACUGCUUUUGCAGGGGAAUAAACCUUCUUAUGUAUAAGAAGCUGAAUGUACUCUGAGAAUAAGGAUCGGCUAACUCCGUGCCAGCAGCCGCGGUAAU